GAUGAACGCUGGCGGCGUGCCUAACACAUGCAAGUCGAACGGACAUUUUUUGGAAAGUUCUUCGGAACUGGAAUCUAAAUGUUAGUGGCGGACGGGUGAGUAACGCGUGAGCAAUCUGCCUUUCAGAGGGGGAUAACAGCCGGAAACGACUGCUAAUACCGCAUAAGCCCACGACCCGGCAUCGGGUUGAGGGAAAAGGAGCAAUCCGCUUUGAGAUGGCCUCGCGUCCGAUUAGCUAGUUGGUGAGGUAACGGCCCACCAAGGCGACGAUCGGUAGCCGGACUGAGAGGUUGAACGGCCACAUUGGGACUGAGACACGGCCCAG
rnacentral:rRNA from 1 species